CAGCUAUUUGUAAGGCCUCCUCAGACAACCAAUUGUUAGAAUUUCAGCUCAAGAUCUGUGAAAUCUUCUGAAGAGAACAUUGAUAUUUGGGUCAGGAGGCUUUUUAGUACCAAUGAAUUUUGAACUGAUUUGUAAAUCCCCUUUGCAAAAUAAGGAUCUAUUAUUUUGCUUGAACAUUGUAACCAAGAAGUGGAGGUGUGGCACCUGCCAGGGCUGCAUGCAUGCUAGAUCACUUCGGUCGUGUCUGACUCUUUGGGACCCUGUGGACCACAGCCCACCAGGCUCCUCUGUCCAUGGGAUGCU